rnacentral:misc_RNA from 1 species
CCGAGUUUACAACUCCCAAACCCCUGUGAACAUACCUAUACGUUGCCUCGGCGGAUCAGCCCGCGCCCCGUAAAACGGGACGGCUCGCCAGAGGACCCCUAAACUCUGUUUCUAUAGUGGAACUUCUGAGUAAAACCAUAAAUAAAUCA